rnacentral:tRNA from 1 species
GGAGAGGUGCGAGAGUGGCCGAAUCGGACGGUCUCGAAAACCGUUGUCCCGCAAGGGACCGUGGGUUCGAAUCCCACCCUCUCCGCCA